AACGCGAAGAACCUUACCAGGUCUUGACAUCGAUCUAAACUUGUAGAGAUACAAGGUGGCUUCGGCCGAGAGAAGACAGGUGGUGCAUGGUUGUCGUCAGCUCGUGUUGUGAAAUGUUGAGUUAAGUCCCGCAACGAGCGCAACCCUUAUCCUUUGUUGCCAGCGGUCCGGCCGGGAACUCAAAGGAGACUGCCAGUGAUAAACUGGGGGAAGGUGGGGAUGACGUCAAGUCAUCAUGGCCCUUACGACCAGGGCUACACACGUGCUACAAUGGCGCAUACAAAGAGAAGCGACCUCGCGAGAGCAAGCGGACCUCAUAAAGUGCGUCGUAGUCCGGAUUGGAGUCUGCAACUCGACUCCAUGAAGUCGGAAUCGCUAGUAAUCGUGGAUCAGAAUGCCACGGUGAAUACGUUCCCGGGUCUUGUACACACCG
rnacentral:rRNA from 1 species